rnacentral:lncRNA from 1 species
CCUGGGGUGCAUGCCCGACACUCACUUCUAGGUGGCAGAACCAACCUACGAUGAAGUCCAAAUUCUUGUGAUCCCGGGUGAUAGAGCCAACCUUCGAUGGAUCAUAACUUAUGUACUAAGUAUUUAGAAACUACAACCCAACCGGGAAACUAAUAGUUACAAGAGACUUUAUUAGAACACAACAAUACUACACAAGAGUGUACAACACUCUGUCUUUAGUGGCUAGCCUAGCACUCACCUUUUUCUCACUGUCACACUACCACGCUCCCCUCAUCCACCAUGCUAAUGGUUGAAUGGCAUGGCAAGUGAGGGGGUUCUAUUUAUAGGUAAAGGGGGUCAUGAGAUUGAGACAAGUGUCCUCCUUUCUAGAGACUUCCUAGAUAUUACAACAUUUACUAAUUUAUUUUAUUACCAAGGUCGAUAUCUUCUCCUUACACGAUGGACAAAACUCUAGAAGGUUUUUGCCUUGCUUACUUUCAACAUUCUCCCUCAAGGAAAAAAUCUUUUCAAAUUUAUCCGGCAGACCAUGCCAAGCGCCUCUUGAAACUUCUCAAAAUUUAGUUUUUUAGACUCUUUGUGAGUAUGUGGACGGUUUUUCUAUCUUGGUAGGCACCAUUGCAAUCUCACCCUCAAGGACAUUUUUUCAUAUGUAGCGGUAGUGAACUUGUAUGUGUUUGAUCCUUGUUUGGACGACUGGAUUUUCUACCAAACGAACAGACGGUAGAUUAUCAUAGAAAUCCUUACUUGGUAUUCUGUUGGCCAGUCAGGGGUAGGCCUAAAUGUAUUUCAAGGGUAUUCAAUUGAAUACACAUUAUUUUUUGCAACAAGUUCAUGUAUGUAGUGUAUAACACAUAUACCUAUUCAGAAAAUAGAAAAUGGCACCACAAAAACAGGCUUUCUAAUAUGUCCUUGCCUUCGUGAGCCCAAAAAGAGAUUAGCCCACACUCCCCUCCCUCCCCAAGGCCUAGAAAUGGCCCAAAGUUGGCCCUGCAGACUGUCGAGUCGCCAUCUCGGAGUCUUCCCGAUCCCCUCCCGACUGCCUCUCUCUCGCUCAUCCCCGAAGUCUCGAACUAGACAGUCGACAGUGCAUGCAUGGAGCUUCAGCCUUGGGAGCAGGCCGAGCGGGCUGCCGAGCAUAGGGCGGCAGGCUUCCCAGCUCUAAUGUCCUUCCCAGCUUCCCUGUUCCGUCUUG